GUGUUGGAAAUGUUGGGUUAAGUCCCGCAACGAGGGCAACCNUNUCCUUGUUNCCAGCACGUAAUGGUGGGAACUCCAGGGAGACUGCCGGUGAUAAACCGGAGGAAGGUGGGGANGACNUCAAGUCAUCAUGGCCCUUANGAGUAGGGCUACACACGUGNUACAAUGGUGCAUACAGAGGGAAGCAAGAGCGCGAGCUGGAGCGGAUCCCAAAAAGUGCAUCGUAGUCCGGAUUGGAGU
rnacentral:rRNA from 1 species